rnacentral:misc_RNA from 1 species
GUAACAAGGUCUCCGUUGGUGAACCAGCGGAGGGAUCAUUACUGAGUGUAAAAACUCCCAACCCUUUGUGAACAUACCUCUGUUGCUUCGGCGGAUGCGCCCCGGGCGCGCCUCUCAGGAGGCGUGCCCCGGAACCAGGCGCCCGCCGGGGGACCUACAAACUCUUGUAUUCUAGCGGAUCUCUGAGUGUGAUUUAAACAAAUCAAAUCAAAACUUUCAACAACGGAUCUCUUGGCUCUAGCAUCGAUGAAGAACGCAGCGAAAUGCGAUAAGUAAUGCGAAUUGCAGAAUUCAGUGAAUCAUCGAAUCUUUGAACGCACAUUGCGCCCGCUAGUAUUCUGGCGGGCAUGCCUGUCUGAGCGUCAUUUCAACCCUCGUCCCCCGUCUAGGCGGGAGGGCGGUGUUGGGGAUGGGCCUGCCUCCGGGCCGGCCCGCCCCUAAAUGUAGUGGCGACCCACGCCGUAGCCUCCUCUGCGUAGUAGUAACUCACCUCGCGGGCGGAGAGCGGUGCGGUCCGCCGUAAAACCCCCUACUUUCUCAAGGUUGACCUCAGAUCAGGUAGGAAUACCCGCUGAACCUAAGCAUAUC